CUACGUGCCAGCAGCCGCGGUAAUACGGAGGGUGCGAGCGUUAAUCGGAAUAACUGGGCGUAAAGGGCACGCAGGCGGUGACUUAAGUGAGGUGUGAAAGCCCCGGGCUUAACCUGGGAAUUGCAUUUCAUACUGGGUCGCUAGAGUACUUUAGGGAGGGGUAGAAUUCCACGUGUAGCGGUGAAAUGCGUAGAGAUGUGGAGGAAUACCGAAGGCGAAGGCAGCCCCUUGGGAAUGUACUGACGCUCAUGUGCGAAAGCGUGGGGAGCAAACAGAAUUAGAUACCCUGGUAGUCCACGCUGUAAACGAUGUCGAUUUGGGGGUUGAACUAUAAGUUUGGCGCCCGUAGCUAACGUGAUAAAUCGACCGCCUGGGGAGUACGGCCGCAAGGUUAAAACUCAAAUGAAUUGACGGGGGCCCGCACAAGCGGUGGAGCAUGUGGUUUAAUUCGAUGCAACGCGAAGAACCUUACCUACUCUUGACAUCCA
rnacentral:rRNA from 1 species